UCGAGAAUCUUCGGCAAUGGGCGAAAGCCUGACCGAGCGACGCCGCGUGCGGGAUGAAGGCCCUCGGGUUGUAAACCGCUGUCGUAGGGGAGGAAGGCUCCGUGAAGAGCGGGGUUUGACCUAUCCUAGGAGGAAGUACGGGCUAAGUUCGUGCCAGCAGCCGCGGUAAUACGAACCGUACAAACGUUAUUCGGAAUCACUGGGCUUAAAGGGUGCGUAGGCGGCCAUGUAAGUGAGGUGUGAAAUCCCUCGGCUUAACCGAGGAACUGCGCUUCAUACUGCAUGGCUUGAGGGAGACAGGGGUAAGCGGAACUGAUGGUGGAGCGGUGAAAUGCGUUGAUAUCAUCAGGAACACCGGUGGCGAAAGCGGCUUACUGGGUCUCUUCUGACGCUGAGGUACGAAAGCUAGGGUAGCGAACGGGAUUAGAUACCCCGGUAGUCCUAGCUGUAAACGAUGAGCACUUAUCUGGGGAUCCUCCCAUAGGUUCCCGGAUGAAGCGAAAGUGUUAAGUGUCC
rnacentral:rRNA from 1 species